AGGGAAUGCUCACUGCAGGACAGGGAAUGCUCACUGCAGGAACAGGGAAUACUCACUGCAGGGCCAGCACGGCCGGCACCGUCCCCUCCUUCCAUCCUCCGCUUCAGGCGAGGACCCGGCUGCUGCUGCCGCUCUGCCUCCUGCCCGCGCGCAGGCUGGGCAUGGUCCCGGCUGCAGGCACACCUGGGAAAGCUGAAGGUGUGUCCGUGGGCCAUAAAUACCUGUGCCUCGCAGCCAGAGGGCUCCGCGGGAGGGGGAAACCUGAGGCCGCAGCGGGAGCUGAGCGCUGCUGUCAGUGCCCGGCGCGGCUCUUCCUGCUCAGCCCCGGGACGGGCGGGAGCCACAAUCGGGGCCUUUGUGUGCCCCCGGGGCUGGCACGGCCCAGCACGGGCCCAGGUGAGGCUCUUUGAAAGAUCAAAUGACCAGAGGACAGUGGCAGCCUGCCCUUGUGGCAGCGGCAAUUCCCACAUUUCAACGGGAACUCGAUGCUGUUGGAGCCAGGUGCUGAUCCUGCUGUUCCUGGGCUGCACAGACACACCUGUGCCACCCUCAGAGGAAAAGGGAUAAGGGCUGUGCCACAAAGUCACCGCCACAGCCUGCACUGCUCUCACAGUCACCCGUGUCCUGUCCUGAGAACAUCCCUGUGCCAGCAAUGUUCCCUGAGCACCCAGAUCCCGAGCAGUCCAGGAGCCCCCAAAGUGUUCCAGACCUGCCAGCCAGACACAACAAAGGUGUGGAGGAAAGGAAAAGCCAAGAAUUCCUUCAUGUGAUGUCUAUCCAGGGAAAACGCAGGUUUUGGACAUUUUCCUAUCAAGCACAACCCAGGGCUGAACAAAGUGGCUGAAGGGAGCCCACAAGAAAGGAGAGGGACUUUGGCCAAGGGCAUGGGCAGGGCAAAGGGGAAUGCCAGAGGGUUAGAUUAGGUGUUGGAAAGAAACUCUUCCCUGUGAAGGUGGGCAGGCCCUGGCACAGGUGCCCAAAGCAGCUGGGGCAGCUCCUGGAUCCCCGGCAGUGCCCAGGGCCAGGCUGGACAGGGCUUGGAGCAGCCUGGAACAGUGGAAGGUGUCCCUGCCAUGGCAGGGGUGGCACUGGAUGGGCUUUGAGGUCUUUUCCCAAACCAUCCCUGACUCCCAGGAUUCCCAAGGCACAGCUGCACCACAGCUCACACAGACGAGACACCAGAGCGAGACAAGACUGGGGAGAGCAGGUUUGAGAGUUUAAUGGGAAUUCAAGUAGAGGAUUAAGAACUGUUUGGAAGUCAGAGAUUUGAAGCACGACUGAAGCACGCCACCAGCACAUUCCAGCAUCCCUGAGCCCAGGCAAGAGCCUUCAGCAGGGACAGAGCUGCCUGACGGAUGCUGGACUCUCUCCUGGCCUUUUCCUGACACAAAAAGCACCAGAAACAGAGACUGAAUCCAAACCCACACUGUUACAUCAGACAAGAGCUGCAGUGAGUCCAUAAUGUCCAUCUCCGUGUUACCCAGAUCAAGGGUAAGUUCUGCCUCUGGGACUUUGCAGAAGAGAUUAUCCACACUUCCUUCCACAACUCCAAAUUACAAACAAACAGCCUUUCAGAGGUUCAGCCAAAGCUCUGGGAACACCGAGACCCUCUGGACUGCAGGGUUAUUGCUGUACAAGGAAGUUACCAGACAGGAAAUGGCACCAGCACUGCCCGAGCUCCUCAGCUGGACAGGAAGGAAAACCAGUGCUUUAAACUGAGCUGUAGGUACUGGAAUCUAUGCAAUAAAAGCAUGUUAUUUGCAUAUAUAAUUUUCA
rnacentral:lncRNA from 1 species